rnacentral:rRNA from 1 species
UCCUACGGGAGGCAGCAGUGGGGAAUAUUGGACAAUGGGCGAAAGCCUGAUCCAGCCAUGCCGCGUGUGUGAAGAAGGUCUUCGGAUUGUAAAGCACUUUAAGUUGGGAGGAAGGGCAGUUACCUAAUACGUGAUUGUUUGACGUACCGACAGAAUAGACC